UACAGAGGUCUCGAGCGUUGUUCGGAUUCAUUGGGCGUAAAGGGUGCGUAGGUGGCGCUGUAAGUCGGGUGUGAAAUCCUGAGGCUUAACCUCGGAACUGCAUUCGAUACUGCGGCGCUUGAGGACUGGAGAGGAGAGUGGAAUUCCUGGUGUAGCGGUGAAAUGCGCAGAUAUCAGGAAGAACACCCGUGGCGAAGGCGGCUCUCUGGGACGGUACUGACGCUGAGACGCGAAAGCGUGGGGAGCGAACAGG
rnacentral:rRNA from 1 species